UAAGUGGGGGAGUGGCACUUCAGUUUAAAGAGACCACUCUGGCUGGUCUCUCCAUGGACUGCCAGGGGCAAACACAGAGGCAGAGAUGGAUUAGGAGGUGAUAUGGAAGUCCAGUGAGAGAUGUCAGAGGUUCGGACUGGGAUGGUAGCAGGAGAGGAGAGGAAAGUAGAUGAAUUCAGGCCAGGGGAUCGGGAAGACGCAUACCAGUGAGUGACUCAUAGGUCACACAUA
rnacentral:lncRNA from 1 species